rnacentral:rRNA from 1 species
UAGGGAAUCUUCCGCAAUGGGCGAAAGCUUGACGGAGCAACGCCGCGUGAGUGAUGAAGGUCUUCGGAUCGUAAAACUCUGUUAUUAGGGAAGAACAAAUGUGUAAGUAACUAUGCACGUCUUGACGGUACCUAAUCAGAAAGCCACGGCUAACUACGUGCCAGCAGCCGCGGUAAUACGUAGGUGGCAAGCGUUAUCCGGAAUUAUUGGGCGUAAAGCGCGCGUAGGCGGUUUUUUAAGUCUGAUGUGAAAGCCCACGGCUCAACCGUGGAGGGUCAUUGGAAACUGGAAAACUUGAGUGCAGAAGAGGAAAGUGGAAUUCCAUGUGUAGCGGUGAAAUGCGCAGAGAUAUGGAGGAACACCAGUGGCGAAGGCGACUUUCUGGUCUGUAACUGACGCUGAUGUGCUAAAGCGUGGGGAUCAAACAGG